rnacentral:rRNA from 1 species
AACGAACGCUGGCGGCAUGCCUAAUACAUGCAAGUCGAACGAGAUCUUCGGAUCUAGUGGCGCACGGGUGCGUAACGCGUGGGAAUCUGCCCUUGGGUUCGGAAUAACUUCUGGAAACGGAAGCUAAUACCGGAUGAUGACGUAAGUCCAAAGAUUUAUCGCCCAAGGAUGAGCCCGCGUAGGAUUAGCUAGUUGGUGGGGUAAAGGCCCACCAAGGCGACGGUCCUUAGCUGGCCUGAGAGGAUGAUCAGCCACACUGGGACUGAGACACGGCCCAGAAUCCUACGGGAGGCAGCAGUAGGGAAUAUUGGACAAUGGGGGAAACCCUGAUCCAGCAAUGCCGCGUGAGUGAUGAAGGCCUUAGGGUUGUAAAGCUCUUUUACCCGGGAUGAUAAUGACAGUACCGGGAGAAUAAGCUCCGGCUAACUCCGUGCCAGCCGCCGCCGUAA